rnacentral:rRNA from 1 species
UACAGAGGUCCCAAGCGUUGUUCGGAUUCACUGGGCGUAAAGGGUGCGUAGGUGGUGAACUAAGUCGGGUGUGAAAUCUCCGGGCUCAACCCGGAGCGUGCGCCCGAAACUGGUUUGCUAGAGGAUAGGAGGGGCGACUGGAAUUCUCGGUGUAGCAGUGAAAUGCGUAGAUAUCGAGAGGAACACCGGUGGCGAAGGCGAGUCUCUGGACUAUUCCUGACACUGAAUCACGAAAGCCGGGGGAGCAAACGGG